UUGAUUGUUAUCGACAGACCGGAAGAUGUGCGUCUUCUUUCCUUAGUAUACUAGUAUUUACUUUAAUACAUAAACCGACUUGUUUUGAAGGCAAUGCAGUCGAUAAACUAGCAGCUCCGCCGCCAGCAGCAGACACGCAGCCAGUGAGUCCAGAGAGUUCGGGGAUCGACAGUGAAGACUGCGAGAUCGACCGGUAGAUCGCGUUUGACGGGUUGGCGACCACUGGUCUAAAGUAAGCUGGUAAGUGUUUUUGACACCAACUUCUCCCCAGCAUUAGACACUGAAAACUUUAUCUGUGUACCUUAAAGGAAAACCUGGACGUGAAAUUGUCAACAGACUGACACUGUAAGAUACAUUUUAGCAAAAAAAGACUUAAAAAAACUAAACUGUCUCAAUGAUAAAUUUCAUUGGACUAGGGAGUCCACAACUGACCUCAGACCAAAGUAUGGGUAUAGUCAGAAGAAAGAUACCAAGUGCUGUAGCUGUUCUGUGCAAUACAAAGUUUUAUAAAUUGAUAAACACACCAGGCUCAGGGGUUAGUUUCGUCGUCCUCUAACAGGAAGGUUCGCCGUUCGAUCCCAGUCUUCCCUUUUCCGCAUGCCAAAGCGUCCUUAGGCAAGAUACUGAACCCUAAAUUGCCCCUUAUCAUAGAGGAAGUGCUGCACAUAGAUGCACUAUAUGAAUGUACUGUAUGAAACUGUACGGUAAAGCGCUUUGAGUGGUCAUAAGGACUAGAAAAGCUCUAUGUAAACACAGACCGUUUACCUCCUUCAGAGAAAAUACAGAGGAUCUGCGCAGUCCAGUGCAUGUCUGAAAGCAGCCUAUGCAUCAUAAUCGAUGCUCGCUGUUCUAUUUGUGUCACUUGUAAUGGAAAGAGCUGGUAGCCUGGAUAACUAUAUAACAUAUAUUAUAACAUAAUUUUAACAUUAUAACUAUAAAAAAAGCAAGCUAAGGGAAACUUGAAGUUGCUUAUAAUGAUUUUUGUUUUGUACUUUCAUCUAUGUUGUGUUGUAUUAUAUCUGGGCCCUGAGUCUGAAUGAUACAAUUCAUCAUCAUCUUCAACAUUAAUCAUAUUGAGGAUAGUAUACUGUUUAAGUAAAUAUGAAGCUGGGAAAGAGCUUUAAUUGAUUCAUUCUUAAUUUUCUAAUUCAUUCUCAGUUUAAAUAAUUCACUGCAUGUUUACGAUCAUGUACAAAACUCAUUAAAGUAUAUGCAAUAAUGAUGAUCAAUACAUAUUGAUAAAGAAAGCCCUAUUAGUCUGCCUUCUCUAAAAUAACUCAGCAAAACAAUAUAUUGUGUAAGGGCCAGAGACUUAGGGUUAAAUAAAAAUGAUCAAAUCAACAACAUUUUCAAUUUUAUGUAUAAUUUCAAAGGCUUUUCAACCACCUGUGGUCAACAUUCUCCAUAAACUGAGAUAGUUCUGACCACCAUCUUUGUUAUAACUAUCAGUGCUCUUGCCAGUAUCAUAAUCAAUCUGUACAAAUUUUAGUAGAGCCCAGUAUUUCUUCUCACCCGUGUGUUUGGCUGUGUAAUGGUGGCAAGAAACCACAAUUUACUGUUGCAGAAAUAGUUUACAAUACAGAAUCCUCUCCUGAACAAUCUGUGUAAACUUAUCUUACCUGCCAAAGCGAGUGACCAACAUGCCCACAAUGAGGGAGCCCAGCAGACCUCCAAUGGCGAAGACAGACACAGUGAGAGAGUACAUGAGGGUCAGGGUCUCGCCACUGAGUCCUGUUCCAUUACGACUCAGCACUGUUUUGUUGUAGAAAUCCUUUAUGUACUGAGGGUUUGAGGGAGAGUAGAAAUAAGAUGGUCAGAAGAGGAAUAUAUUAAAGAAAGUGGCAGAAAUACAGAAAAAAUAAGACGUAUGAAUGAACUAGAUGUGGAUGACAUAUCUCCACCAAAGGUCCCCUUAAUUUCAAUCAAAUUGCAGACUUCCCAGCCCUAGGACCUGAGUGACACAGUUGAAAGAAAGAAAGAAAGAAAGAAAGAAAGAAAGAAAGAAAGAAAGAAAGAAAGAAAGCUGUGUUCUCUGAAGCUCAUGGACGUAACAGUGUUUUCAAGGAAAAUGGUCAAUUGUCUUAAUUUCACUGAAAGCUCUUCACAGUACAGUUUUGCCAUUGAUCAAUUUGCAGACAUACAUGCAGUGCAUAUGCAGUACGCCAUAUGCCUAAGACACUUAGGCAUGUGGAAUGGGGCAGACUGGGAUUGAACCACCAACCUUGUGGUUAGUGGACAAACAGCUGGUCAGGAAAAGAUGUAUGAAUCUAUAAAUAAUUAAAACUACUCAGGUUUUCCAAUAAAACUACGAAGCAUUUCCAUAACUAUCAAGAAUCUUUUCAAGUUUCAGCUACAGUGAGGGAAGCCCAUUAUCUGGGAAUGAACAUCCACAUAUUAAAGUUAAAGUGAAUGUAUAAAUCUGCUUACUGUCUGCAUUUUUGUUCUUGGUGCUGUAUGAGGGUGGAAAACCCAUGCUGAAUUUUCUGGUUUGUAGCUUUGAAAAACUAUUGAUGACUACAUGGGCCACAUCAUCCAACAUCUCCCUCAUCAUCAUCAUAAGUAUCAUAAAAACAAAUAUGUUUUGUUUAAAAACAGUGCUGUUCCUAAAUCUGCCAAAUGUGCUAAAAUAGCUGAUAUCAUUGCUGCAGGGUCUGCUAAAGCUUUAGCAUCAUCGACAAAUUGAGUAUGAAGAUUUUUUUACUCCAUGGCCAUUUAUAAUCACCAGGGAGCCAUUCAAGAGCAAGUAGGUACACUGGUCUUACAGCACUGGUGCUAUUGUCCACAGCAGUUACUUCUCUGCUUUGUAGUUGUUUUGUGUAAAAGUUUAGUUGGUGUGCAUAUUGAAAUAGACAAUAAAGGGGGUGUAGUGAUGGGUAUCAAUUAGGGUGGUGCAUCUACGCUACAAAUGCCAGGGCCUAUUUGUAGCCCAAGUCCAGCCCAAUAGACCAUUACACUUUACUGUACUUGACUUGACUAAGCUGCCAUACUGAUACCUGCUCUCUUUGGAACAAUAAAAGACAGAUCUUAUUAUCUACUCAAUUGAAAUGGGAGAUAGAAGAAAGCUUUUGUACGGUGGCCCUGAGAGCUUAACGCACUGCAACUGAAGAAAACACAUGCAAGUGGACAAAACACAAGCAAACAGGGGAGUUAACCACAGCCAGAUUGUAGCCAUAAAGCAUGGAGCUCCCAAAGGAGGUGAGGAAUGCUACCGCCAACAGAGAGCUGGUCAAGUGCUGCAGACAUAGGAAUCUGGAAUCGAACCAGAUUAGUGGAUGACACGUUCCUAUGCCUGGUCCUAGAUAGAGAUUGGACACCGAGGGUGGACAAGGGUGGCCUACCAAUAGCAUAGGAACCCUAGAUAUACAAGUGCAGCGUCUUGCCAAGCCUCCUGAUCCCCGCAUUCCCAUUGAUAGCAUUUGAAACCAUGGAAACAAACAAGCAAGUACCUGAGAGGAUUGUAAGGGAGACCUCAAUAGGGUCAACAUACACAACUCAAGAACUCAAAACUAUUGCAUGCCCCUCUGAAACUUUGCAGAAAUAUACUUCUGCCUAUAUAUAGCGUCCAGCAGAGUGGUUGAUGUAGUCACAUCUCGUUUAGAUGUGACUAAACAAGUGUGUUGGUUGUAACACCCAUAACAGUGUAACACACUUUGCAAAAAUGAUUUCGAACUCACGUAGCCAAUCAAUCGGAACCCUUGUACAGACACUGACAUCCAUUUCUGAUUAUGAAGUAGUAUAUUUGGUUAUUAAGCAUAAAAUAUAUCAUAUCACAAUUAGAAUUUCUUUAAAUUAUUAAAUUUCAUGUCUACUGUAUUCAAUUCCCAUGAUUCGACUCCAAACACCAGUAAGUUCAGCCAACAUCAAGAAACAGUGAGGAAAAUGUGCAUUAUCAGUCAAAUUUAACAGUUUUACAGUGUAGAUCUUUAUCAAAGUAGAUUUUAUGAAUUUUAAGCUUGGCGAUCUACUUCAAAUACCUCAUAAGGUGUUGUUAGAUGCAGCUAAUGAUACUUUCUCCCAAGUUCAGGGCUACAAGUUUGAAAGUAUUAAAUACAAUAGUGAAUGAAGAUGAUGACCCUGGCAUUGUAUCUGACUGGAUUCAUUCAGUCUCAACUUACCGCAGUGAAUUUUCUCGCUGAUGGAAUUAAAACCUCCUCAGCCAUUUAAGAAAUCUGUCAGGUAGUCCCAAACAGCAGAUUUCUCUCUCUCUACACUGCAGAGAAUCUCAUUGCUGCAGCAGCAGGCGUUGUCAGACAGGUCAAAGUGCCCAUGAGCAGUGUGUAGGCCAGCAGUCUACAGGCUCCUGAUAACAAGCCCACACAGUGUCAUCACAUGACAGAGAGCAGCGUGAUGGACCGAGAGAAAAGCCUGCUGGAAGCAAUUAGUUUUAAGUGAAUUUACAAAGAAGCAGAGGAGAGGACACAAACUGGACUGCAUUUAUACAGCAGCGUUCUAGUCUGAACAACCACUCCAAGCACUUUACACUACAGGUCACAUUCAUAGAUUUAUUAAAUAUUUAAUCCAAUUGUCCCAACUAAACCUUGAAACUGUAUUACAGUAACAAGUAAAUACAACUUUAAAUUUCAUGCAGUGGCAGUUUAUUGAGGCAGGGUUUUCUCGUGUUUCCACUUAACGUACAUGAUCUCUUGAGAGUUUUUUAAUGAUAUAAAUUCUGACACAAUGAACAUUGGUCGAAAUAGAGAUAAAACAUAGCCUUAAAUAGUCAAGUUAGUUUUUUAGUCAUAUUUUGCCAUUUUAAUGCUAUAAAUUACUGCUGUGUAUAGAUGUGAUUUUCUUUAAACGUUUCUUAUGCAUGCUUCAUUACACUGCACGCAGUUCAGUACUGUUUCCACCCAUGUUGGUGUGUCUAUUGCUUGGAAGUGUAUCUAAUGAUUAUUAACUCUUUGAGCAGAUUGGUUGAGGGUGGGGAAGAUGACACCCCUGUAGUAUUUAUUUAUUGAUACUUAUCAGUACAACCUCCUCCUCACUGAUCCCUGCUCAGCUACACUGCACUCAUGCUCUGCUGCUGGCAACUUGCCUCCACCACCACAGCCUCCACCUUUUAGCACUGAGUCUAAACUUGGUUGGGGGGUUUUUGCAUGUGUCCCCUUUCUUAGCUUAGCAUGCUGCGUGGCUAAUCCAGGGAACAUCCGGAAUACAUGUAUUCCCAUUUGUGCAAUAAAUGGUUAAAUCAUGA